rnacentral:sRNA from 1 species
AAUUAGCCCCGAUGGAAAUGGAAAUCCUUUUUUUUCUGAAUUUUUUCAGAAAAAAAGAUUGAAAUGUACAGCGGGACGACUC